rnacentral:lncRNA from 1 species
AAUCAAGAAAAACGAACUCAAAUAAACCCAACAUUGAGAUUCAAGAGAAACAAAAUCAAACUACCACUCACCGAUACAAAAAACCACCAAAAGAUGCAGAAUCAGAAUCGAUGCUCUCAAAACUUCAGAUAGAGCAGAACGAAGAGGUGGAAGGCGAGCGGGAAGAGAACAGAAAUUGAAAUUGAAAACGAUAACAGAAAUUGAAAACUUACCAUGAAGGAGAGCGAAACGAUUCAACUCCGAUUAACACUGUUCUCUGAUCUCCUCUUCCUCUCUUCCUCUCUCUUCCAAAUCGCCUCUUUCUCUCUCUCCCUACGAUUUCUCUGAUCACCUCUUCCCAAUCGCCUCUUUCUCUCUCUCCCUACGAUUGAAAACCAAGCUUUCCGCAUCCACCCCCUCUCUCCGCUGCUGCUCUUCUCUCUCACCUGUGGCAAGAAGUCGCGAGAAGACUCGCGAAAGGGCAAAGGAAGAAAAAGCCCAUGCCCGAGCGACAUGCAGCCCAAGCCCGAGCGAGACUGCACUGUUCUGAAAAACAGUACCUCCGCUGACGUCAUCUCAACAAAUAUAUAUAUGGUAUAAUUGGCAAAUCACGUAUUCAUUCAACUGUAAAUUCGAUUCAUGUUUAAAAAAUUGUAAAUCUAAAUUUGUUGAUAGAAUAGCUAACUAACCUACAUAACUGAUACUAAACAUCAAACACCAUAAAAUCUUGAUAGAAACUAUUGAAAAAGAAUAAUUACGACAAAGAUUCUGUAUGCACUAAUUAGUUAUAAGUUCCAUUUGAUUUGGAUGACUUCACUUUUGGUGUAUAUAGUUUAUUCUCAUCACUAAAAUUUUCUGUUGCUGAAUUCAACUGGACCUUGCGACAUAAGCCAAUGUGUUUUUUCAAUAUUUUCAAAAAGCACAGAAACAUGUUCAGUAAAUACCACUCGAGGAAUCUUGUUAUUCAUGGCUACAAAUUUCAAUUAAAUUUUUAGAGCUCUAACUUUAAUUUAUUAUCAGCCCCGAAACAGCAAAUUUGUUAUCAGCAAAUUGAAGGAAAAUUGGUUCAUUUCUUACAUAACUUGAAGUCCUGACAGAGCACACAUAAUUUAAACAGUGAAGAUACAAAAAAAGACGCACUAAGCUCGAAGUCCUGACAUGAAAUUAGAGGAAACUGAUAGGCAAG